rnacentral:ncRNA from 2 species
UAUUCAAUGCAUGUCUGUGGUUCUCCGGGGCGGUUUUGCCGUUCCGGAGCUAAGAGGGAAGCCGGUGCGCGAUGUUGCAAAGCCGGCGCUGCCCCCGCAACUGUAAACGGCGAGCCGAAAUCCACCGGUGUCACUGAGGUGAUAAGCCUUGGGAAGACGGAUUGAAGCGAAGACCCGCGAGCCAGGAGACCUGCCACGGCAAGAAGAAACGU